rnacentral:rRNA from 1 species
GUUGUAUAGUCAAGUAAUUAAGUGCAUGUGGUGGAUGCCUUGGCAGUCAGAGGCGAUGAAAGACGUGAUAGCCUGCGAAAAGCUCCGGGGAGGCGGCAAAUAUCCUUUGAUCCGGAGAUUUCUGAAUGGGGGAACCCACCCGCUAUAAGGCGGGUAUCAUAAACUGAAUACAUAGGUUUAUGAAGCGAACGAGGGGAAGUGAAACAUCUCAGUACCCUUAGGAAAAGAAAUCAAUUGAGAUUCCCUUAGUAGCGGCGAGCGAACGGGGAGCAGCCCAUUAAGUUAUGUGUGUUUUAGUGGAACGCUCUGGGAAGUGCGAACGUAGAGGGUGAUAUUCCCGUACACGAAAGGGCACACAUAAUGAUGACGAGUAGGGCGAGGCACGUGAAACCUUGUCUGAAUAUGGGGGGACCAUCCUCCAAGGCUAAAUACUCCUGACUGACCGAUAGUGAACCAGUACCGUGAGGGAAAGGCGAAAAGAACCCCUGUGAGGGGAGUGAAAUAGAUCCUGAAACCGCAUGCAUACAAGCAGUGGGAGCCGACUUGUUCGGUG